AUUGAACGCUGGCGGCAUGCCUAACACAUGCAAGUCGAACGAGUGGCGAACGGGUGAGUAAUAUAUCGGAACGUGCCCGAUAAAGGGGGAUAACUACUGGAAAGAUUAGCUAAUACCGCAUAUUAUUCGAUCAGCCCAUAUCUGAUUAGCUAGUAGGUGGGGUAAAGGCUCACCAAGGCGACGAUCAGUAGCGGGUCUGAGAGGAUGAUCUGCCAAACUGGUACGUAGACACGGCCCAGACUCCUACGGGAGGCAGCAGUGGGGAAUUUUGGACAAUGGGCGCAAGCCUGAUGCAGCCAUGCCGCGUGUCUGAAGAAGGCCUUCGGGUUGUAAAGUACUUUUGUCAGGGAAGCGGUACCUGAAGAAUAAGCACCGGCUAACUACGUGCCAGCAGCCGCGGUAAUAC
rnacentral:rRNA from 1 species